rnacentral:RNase_P_RNA from 1 species
ACGAUACCGCCUUUGGCUUCGGCCAGGGGUAAGGGUGAAACGAGCGGGGUAAGAGCCCGCAGUUCCCAACGGUGACGUUGGGAAGAGGUAAACCCUGCCUGCCGCAAGGAGAUGGAUACUUUAAGGCCUAAAGCCUAAAGCGUCCCGCUAAGGACCCAUCACAAAAACCGCUCGAGUCUGCGAGCAAUCGUAGACCUAGAUAGAUGACCAGUCAGGGCCUCGGCCCGUGACAAAACCCGGCUUACAGAUAGUCUGACCUU